rnacentral:rRNA from 1 species
GACGAACGCUGGCGGCGUGCCUAAUACAUGCAAGUCGAGCGAGCGGAACCAACAGAUUUACUUCGGUAAUGACGUUGGGAAAGCGAGCGGCGGAUGGGUGAGUAACACGUGGGGAACCUGCCCCUAAGUCUGGGAUACCAUUUGGAAACAGGUGCUAAUACCGGAUAAGAAAGCAGAUCGCAUGAUCAGCUUUUAAAAGGCGGCGUAAGCUGUCGCUAAGGGAUGCCCCCGCGGUGCAUUAGCUAGUUGGUAAGGUAACGGCUUACCAAGGCAACGAUGCAUAGCCGAGUUGAGAGACUGAUCGGCCACAUUGGGACUGAGACACGGCCCAAACUCCUACGGGAGGCAGCAGUAGGGAAUCUUCCACAAUGGACGCAAGUCUGAUGGAGCAACGCCGCGUGAGUGAAGAAGGUUUUCGGAUCGUAAAGCUCUGUUGUUGGUGAAGAAGGAUAGAGGUAGUAACUGGCCUUUAUUUGACGGUAAUCAACCAGAAAGUCACGGCUAACUACGUG